rnacentral:rRNA from 1 species
GUUCAGUGUGCGAUACUUAAGGAGCUUGCCGGUGGAUAACCGGAGGAAGGUGGGGAUGACUUCAAGUCAUCAUUGGCCCUUACGGCCCAGGGCUACACACGUGCUACAAAUGGUGCAUACAAACAGAAAGCGACCUCGCCAGAGCAAGCGGACUCAUAAAGUGCGUCGUAGUCCGGAUUGGAGUCUGCAACUACGACUCCAUGAAGUCGGAAUCGCUAGUAAUAGUAGAUUCAGAAUGUUU